UACGGAGGAGGCAAGCGUUAUCCGGAAUUAUUGGGCGUAAAGAGCUUGUAGGCGGUUUGUCGCGUCUGCCGUGAAAAUCCGGGGCUCAACCCCGGACUUGCGGUGGGUACGGGCAGACUAGAGUGUGGUAGGGGAGACUGGAAUUCCUGGUGUAGCGGUGAAAUGCGCAGAUAUCAGGAGGAACACCGAUGGCGAAGGCAGGUCUCUGGGCCACUACUGACGCUGAGAAGCGAAAGCGUGGGAGCGAACAGG
rnacentral:rRNA from 1 species